GACAAUAGAAAAUGCAACAGAAGAGACACCUGAAAGGGCAGUUGAGGAACUAAUUGAAGAGCCAGAUGAAACUAUUUCUGUCUCAUCAACUGGGCCGAAGGAGGGGGAAAACACAUCACUUGUUGAAGGAAGCAGUGCAGACCCUGAGGAAGAUCAUUUGGAGUCUGCAUCUACUAAUCUUCAGCCUGGCAGCAGCACUUGCAUUGCAAGGGAAGAGCUCCUGAAUCAGAAGCAUCCGGUGAAAAUGCAAGCUGUUAUACGUGGACAUCUAGUUAGAAAGCAGGCUUCAGAAUCUUUACAAUGCUUGCUUGCGUUAUUAAAAUUCAAGGGUUAAUCUGGGUCAUUAAGCACAACAUUCAUCAGGAAAGAUUCAGGUGAAUGAAAUUUUCAUGGCUUUUGCAAAGGAGCAAGUUCAGCAUGACAAUCUGCAGCAGAAUCUGCUUGGUGCAGUGCACCAGCAGUGAGGACCCGACUAGCAAGUUUCACAGUUCAGAAAAAGAAAGGAAAAGAGCACAGGCCAACUUGACCGCAACAUAGUUGACAACACAGGGCAAGAGAAAUUAGAAUCCAACAGACAGAGGUUAUAUUUAACUUGGUUCUCACACACCUGACAGAAGCAUAGUUAUCACAAAUGACAUUACAUAGUUCACACAGCUGUCCUGACAUAGUUCACACAGGUAGCUUCAACAUUGUUCACACGGCUGACUUGAGCAAAAGACAUCUGUGCAUAGUUCACACAGCUAGCUUCAACAGGCGGGUGGUAGCGGGAUCCGGAGGGAAGAGCUGCUUCAGUUGGGAGGCGUCUGCAGGCAUAGAGGCGGCGGCGAAAGAUGCUCUAAGCUUCCUCGGCAUCGUUGGGCUCCCAAACCAACUGAAACGAACAAUACAAAUUAGAACAAUAAUUAAACACAGUUAGUACCUA